CCUACGGGCGGCAGCAGUGAGGCAUAUUGGUCAAUGGACGAGAGUCUGAACCAGCCACGUAGCGUGAAGGAUGACUGCCCUAUGGGUUGUAAACUUCUUUUAUAUGGGAAUAAAACGUUCCACGUGUGGGAUUUUGUAUGUACCAUAUGAAUAAGGAUCGGCUAACUCCGUGCCAGCAGCCGCGGUAAUACGGAGGAUCCGAGCGUUAUCCGGAUUUAUUGGGUUUAAAGGGAGCGUAGGUGGAUUGUUAAGUCAGUUGUGAAAGUUUGCGGCUCAACCGUAAAAUUGCAGUUGAAACUGGCAGUCUUGAGUACAGUAGAGGUGGGCGGAAUUCGUGGUGUAGCGGUGAAAUGCUUAGAUAUCACGAAGAACUCCGAUUGCGAAGGCAGUUCACUGGACUGCAACUGACACUGAGGCUCGAAAGUGUGGGUAUCAAACAGGAUUAGAUACCCUGGUAGUC
rnacentral:rRNA from 1 species